AGGGGAAUAUUGGACAAUGGGGGGAACCCUGAUCCAGCCAUGCCGCGUGUGUGAAGAAGGCCUUUUGGUUGUAAAGCACUUUAAGCGAGGAGGAGGCUACUCUAGUUAAUACCUAGGGAUAGUGGACGUUACUCGCAGAAUGAGCACCGGCUAACUCUGUGCCAGCAGCCGCGGUAAUACAGAGGGUGCGAGCGUUAAUCGGAUUUACUGGGCGUAAAGCGUGCGUAGGCGGCUUUUUAGGUCGGAUGUGAAAUCCCUGAGCUUAACUUAGGAAUUGCAUUCGAUACUGGGAAGCUAGAGUAUGGGAGAGGAUGGUAGAAUUCCAGGUGUAGCGGUGAAAUGCGUAGAGAUCUGGAGGAAUACCGAUGGCGAAGGCAGCCAUCUGGCCUAAUACUGACGCUGAGGUACGAAAGCAUGGGGAGCAAACAG
rnacentral:rRNA from 1 species